CCUUCCAUCUCACGGAAGAAGAUGAAUUAUUGGCUAAUCAGAAGUCAGUGGACGAUUCAUCACCACAAAUAUGUGUGAUGCACAGAUCGGCCAUACAAAGAACAGAGAAAAGGAUCUUCUUUGUGGGAUUUAUCAAGCAAAAACGAAUCUCUAGGGGUUUUUGUUGAAGGAAUUUUGAUUUUUUCAUCAAUGUGGUUUGGUUUGGAGAGUGCUCUGUGAUUGAUUGAUGGGUGUUUGUGAAUCGUAGCACAGGUAAUCACUAACUGAGUUUGGGUUUGAAUCCAUAUUUGAUUCGAACAAACGUAUAAUUCGACUUAAGUUUGAUAUUAUAUACCUCUCCGAUUAUACUAUUUACUCUAUCAGUGAUAAUAUUCAUCCUUCCAAUGACAUUAUUUAUCUUUUUUGUGACACGAUUUAUCCUUUUAGAGAUAUUAUUUAUUCUUUCAAUAAUGUUCCAAUGAUACUAUUCACCUGA